GCUUAACACAUGCAAGUCGAGCGGUAAGGCCCUUCGGGGUACACGAGCGGCGAACGGGUGAGUAACACGUGGGUGAUCUGCCUCGUACUCUGGGAUAAGCCUGGGAAACUGGGUCUAAUACCGGAUAUGACCACGCUUCGCAUGGGGUGUGGUGGAAAGAUUUAUCGGUGCGAGAUGGGCCCGCGGCCUAUCAGCUUGUUGGUGGGGUAACGGCCUACCAAGGCGACGACGGGUAGCCGACCUGAGAGGGUGAUCGGCCACACUGGGACUGAGACACGGCCCAGACUCCUACGGGAGGCAGCAGUGGGGAAUAUUGCACAAUGGGCGGAAGCCUGAUGCAGCGACGCCGCGUGCGGGAUGACGGCCUUCGGGUUGUAAACCGCUUUCGACAGGGACGAAGCGCAAGUGACGGUACCUGUAGAAGAAGCACCGGCCAACUACGUGCCAGCAGCCGCGGUAAUACGUAGGGUGCGAGCGUUGUCCGGAAUUACUGGGCGUAAAGAGCUUGUAGGCGGUCUGUCGCGUCUUCUGUGAAAAUUCACAGCUCAACUGUGAACCUGCAGGGGAUACGGGCAGACUAGAGUACUUCAGGGGAGACUGGAAUUC
rnacentral:rRNA from 1 species